GACGAACGCUGGCGGCGCGCUUAACACAUGCAAGUCGAACGGAAAGGCCUGCUUUCCCUUGUGGAUUGCGGGUACUCGAGUGGCGAACGGGUGAGUAACACGUGAGUGAUCUGCCCCCAACUUGGGUAUAAGCCUGGGAAACUGGGUCUAAUUCCCGAUAGGACUGCAGGGUGGUGCCUGUGGUGGAAAACGACUUUCUAGUGGUUGGGGAUGAGCUCGCGGCCUAUCAGCUUGUUGGUGGGGUAAUGGCCUACCAAGGCGGCGACGGGUAGCCGGCCUGAGAGGGUGGACGGCCACAUUGGGACUGAGAUACGGCCCAGACUCCUACGGGAGGCAGCAGUGGGGAAUAUUGCACAAUGGGCGGAAGCCUGAUGCAGCGACGCCGCGUGGGGGAUGACGGCCUUCGGGUGGUAAACUCCUUUCGACCGCGAGGAAGCCACCUGGUUGGAAGGGUGGUGACGGUAGUGGUAGAAGAAGCACCGGCUAACUACGUG
rnacentral:rRNA from 1 species